rnacentral:lncRNA from 13 species
AUGAUGAACAAGACCCAGGUGCCUGGAAGCUCUUUCCUCACACCACAACCCUNNNNNNNNNNUCUGCUGUUUUCAGUCUUAUCCUUUAAUGGAUUCUACGUCUGCUGUUUUCAGUCUUAUCCUUUAAUGGAUUCUCUACGUCUGCUGUUUUCAGUCUUAUCCUUUAAUGGAUUCUACGUCUGCUGUUUUCAGUCUUAUCCUUUAAUGGAUUCUCUACGUCUGCUGUUUUCAGUCUUAUCCUUUAAUGGAUUCUACGUUUUCAGUCUUAUCCUUUAAUGGAUUCUACAUCUGCUGUUUUCAGUCUUAUCCUUUAAAAGCGGCAAUCAGCAGUUGAAACAAUAACAAACCGUCUCCCCACCCGUUUCGGUAAAAAGCUGAGGGACGGGGCUCAAACUCAGAGUUAUGGAUACGAGGACUGACCAUCCAUGAUAUCAAAAUUAUAAUUAACCAUGUUGAGGCUAAAUAGUGUUUGUUUACAUUUACUUUGUUUACAAACAUUGGAGUAAAAAAAAAAUGCUUAUUUUGGGUUCUGAUGGGGUACAACAAUUAAACUAACCUCAUGAGGAAUUUAUAAGUUCUAUUCUUCAAGAAUCAAUUGAUACAUUUUUGGACAUAUUAAUGAUAUGUAUCUGCAGGUUGCCACUUUAAAGAAGCAAUUGAUGAAAUCCCAAGUAUUGUACUGUUAUCAAGUGCUUAAGUUAGUCCUGUAUGACUUACAUUUAAAGUCAGAUGAUUUGAAGUAGUAAUCUAUGAAGUGCCAAAGCACACUUGGACCUUGGUGGACCGGAGCUAUACAGCAGCCCUUGGUCAUGUUCAUUAGUGCACACCACAGCAAAACCUCUUGCAAUGAUAAACAAACUAAGCAUUUGCCUGAUGAAAACCUUCCAACUGUUUUACUUGUUUUGAAAGCAGUAACUCCCCUCAAUGUACUCUGAACAUUUAAUGACUCUAGGACCAAGAAAAUGUAUUCAAAAUAGCUUCUGAAGUUCGGUAAUUGUGUGUUUGUUAAUGUUCAUAUGUAGCCGGUUUUUCUUCCAUUUGGUGCCUAAUGAACAUGACCCAGCUGCUACACUGAGGUUCCUGAAGUCAGUCUUGGCAGUAAGAGGAUUUAUUCAUGAAUGACUUUUCCCUUUAGUAGUACAAAGCAGGGAGUGGUCUGAGACUCAGAACGACUGAUAGGAAACCCACUAAGUAAUACAAACCAUAGAUGGCUUUAUCUAGCGGCAGUGGAAGACUUCUGUUCUGAUUCUCCCCCCUUUUCCAGUGCACAUGGUUCUAAAAGCACAGCACUGGUGUCAGGAUUGGCUGUGAGGCUGGAGGGAGAUUCCAUUGUCAAAGCCAUAGGGGGGGAAAGUAGGCCAGUGCAGUGCACGCUUUGGGAGAAGGGUGGACAAUUGGGACUCUAAUUUAUCUCCUGGUUUACAAGCCUGGUUUCAACCUAUCCAGUUGCUAUAGUUUUUGUGGACAGUAGACAUAAAAAUAUGACUGAAAACUCAAUCAGUACAUAAAUGACUAGAUAGGAACAUGCAUAUUACACAGAUCAGUUGAGCAAACAAGCCUGGUGUUUUCUACGGGCGGUUUAAUUUAACGUGUGGUUUAAUGAGCAGUUUAAUGUGUUUUUUUAUGGCUUUACCUUGACUGUUAUCAGAUAGACAGGGUUUAAGAGUUAUGAGAAAGGACUUGUAGACUGAAUCCUAAAUGACACCCUAUCCCCUAUAUAUAGUGCAC